UGCGUAGGCGGCUUUGCAAGUCAGAUGUGAAGUCUAUGGGCUCAACCCAUAAACUGCAUUUGAAACUGUAGAGCUUGAGUGAAGUAGAGGCAGGCGGAAUUCCCCGUGUAGCGGUGAAAUGCGUAGAGAUGGGGAGGAACACCAGUGGCGAAGGCGGCCUGCUGGGCUUUAACUGACGCUGAGGCACGAAAGCGUGGUAGCAAACA
rnacentral:rRNA from 1 species